AAGAGUCUUGGAUUUGUUCCUGACGCGGCCGGGACGCAGAGAAAACAAUGGCAGCCAUGGACAAGAGCUGUGGGACACAAACAUGGCAGAUAUCCUGGAAGCCUGGACAGGAAUGUCGAUGGAGACCAAGACUCCUACUCUCAGAGGCAGCUGAAUAUCAGUCGGUCAAUGGAGGGAGAAUAAAAGCGUCUCUCUGUUCGGUGUCAUCUACGGCACACGGCCACAGGGGGCAGCCUAAGAGAACUCCUUGUUUGUGCCUUUUUGUGAACUUUUUCACUGUUUGGAGAAGGAACCUGCAACUUCAGGAGGUCGACUGUCUCACAAAAAUAACUUGAUUUAUACUGAAAAUCAACAGUCCUCAGGGUGUCACCCUCCGUCAUACCUUCAGAGGAUCGACUGAGUGUGAACACGGUGUAGAGAACCAUGGGAAACAGUUGGAGACAGAUUGAGAACUCUUUUUUUUUUGCUGCUUUUUAAAAGUUGAAUUCUGCGGUUGUAAAUGAGAAUACAGUUAAUCUGUGUAUGUGACGUCAUACACUUUCUAUUCUCUUCUGUUCUAUUCUAUUCUGCGGUUGUCAUUGUGGGUUUUUUUUAAGCUCGUUAAAGACGCUUACCUGCGAGUGUAUGGAUUCUGGCGCCCUCUUCUGGUAAUUUUAGGAAGUGCUACAACGUCAUUUCGGCCCACUCGGGCUGUUCCUAUGUAACUGAGUCAUCUUCUCUAAUUAAUCCCAGCACUGACCAGAGAUGACCUCGAGCCACAUGUAAGUUUGUUAAAAUUAGAAACUUUAUUUUAUUUUAAGUCUUUAUGAUUAGAAUUAUUUUAAAUUAUUUUUAUUACAUAUAUUUUUAAAGUUUUUUUUUACCAAACAAAUUCUCAGGUAGUAAACUGUGGUAGUUGAUGACAUGAGCUGUUUUUCUCAUUCACUGUUUCUGAAGAAACAGAUUAUGAAAGACAGAAAACAGAACUCUGUGUGUUUUCUUCACAACUCUCUUUUUUUCAAAAUAAUUGGAACUUAAUGGGUGUGCUGUUCCUGCUCUGUCCUCCGGGGCUUGGUGUCAUGGUAACAACAGGUCUGACUCGGUCGGAGCCGCUGGGGUCGAGGUGCGGCGUGCGUCGUCGUUCGAUCAAUGGAGUCAUCUGAGGACGGCCCCGUGGAGACGGAGAAACACCACAGAGCAGAAGCAGGAACCACACUGUGGUCCAUGUGAUGUGAAGAGUCGCCAUGGAAACGUCAGGCUGUUUUUUUUUAACCAGCCGUUCAAGUCCAAACCGUUGAAGCUCGGGUGUUUACAGCAGCAGCAGCAGCGGUGGCACCUUCACCUGAGGACACCAGGAGCAGCAGAUAACAUCAGGCUCUGAUCUCUGGUUACACGGACCGUGGGCUGCAUUAAUGAUCACCCACAGCUGUCCACGGUCCGAGGUCCCGUUCACAGUUCACUUCAUUUGGAUCCAAGUUGUUUUAACAAAAAUGAAAAGUGUGGAUUAACAACAACAACAAAAAAAAAAACUUUGGUC